UACAGAGGGUGCGAGCGUUGUUCGGAAUUAUUGGGCGUAAAGGGCGCGUAGGCGGUGCGGCAAGUCACCUGUGAAAUCUCCUGGCUCAACUGGGAGCUUGCAGGCGAAACUGCCGUGCUGGAGUGUGGGAGAGGUGCGUGGAAUUCCUGGUGUAGCGGUGAAAUGCGUAGAUAUCAGGAGGAACACCUGUGGCGAAAGCGGCGCACUGGACCACAACUGACGCUGAGGCGCGAAAGCUAGGGGAGCAAACAGG
rnacentral:rRNA from 1 species